AGUGAACGCUGGCGGUAGGCCUAACACAUGCAAGUCGAACGGCAGCACAGGAGAGCUUGCUCUCUGGGUGGCGAGUGGCGGACGGGUGAGGAAUACAUCGGAAUCUACUCUGUCGUGGGGGAUAACGUAGGGAAACUUACGCUAAUACCGCAUACGACCUACGGGUGAAAGCAGGGGACCUUCGGGCCUUGCGCGAUUGAAUGAGCCGAUGUCGGAUUAGCUAGUUGGCGGGGUAAAGGCCCACCAAGGCGGAGAUCCGUAGCUGGUCUGCGAGGAGGAGCAGCCACACUGGAGCUGGGACACGGUCCGGACUCCUACGGGGGGCAGCAGUGGGGAAUGUUGGACAAGGGGCGCAAGCCUGAUCCAGCCAUACCGCGUGGGUGAAGAAGGCCUUGGGGUUGUAAAGCCCUUUUGUUGGGAAAGAAAUCCAGCUGGCUAAUACCCGGUUGGGAUGACGGUACCCAAAGAAUAAGCACCGGCUAACUUCGUGCCAGCCGCCGCCGUAA
rnacentral:rRNA from 1 species